CAGCAGCCGCGGGAAUACGAAGGGGGCUAGCGUUGUUCGGAAUUACUGGGCGUAAAGGGCGCGUAGGCGGCCGAUCAAGUCAGGCGUGAAAGCCCCGGGCUUAACCUGGGAAUUGCGUUUGGGACUGGUUGGCUUGAGUUCGGGAGAGGAGAGUGGAAUUCCCAGUGUAGAGGUGAAAUUCGUAGAUAUUGGGAAGAACACCGGUGGCGAAGGCGGCUCUCUGGACCGAUACUGACGCUGAGGCGCGAAAGCGUGGGGAGCAAACAGGAUUAGAUACCCCAGUAGUCCCUGUCUCUUAUAC
rnacentral:rRNA from 1 species